ACACCCUGGAAUUAUAUAAAUGUUUCUUAUAUGCUUUGAUGUUGCUUGUUUUUCUUUCGAAUUGGAAAUUGCCUUCAGAGUUUCAGAGGGGCAGAUAAUUUGAUGCCGCGGGGGUGGAUUAUGGAUCAGGCUUGAAUUAACUGGGCUGAGCCUGUAUAAAAUUUAUUUAACAAAGUUAUGGAAAGAUAAGGACAAAUUACUGCCCAAAAAAAAAAAA
rnacentral:misc_RNA from 1 species